rnacentral:tRNA from 1 species
GCGGGUGUGGCGGAAUUGGCAGACGCGCCAGAUUUAGGUUCUGGUAUCGCGAGAUGUGCAGGUUCAAGUCCUGUCACCCGCACCA